rnacentral:rRNA from 1 species
UACGUAGGGUGCAAGCGUUAAUCGGAAUUACUGGGCGUAAAGCGUGCGCAGGCGGCUUUGCAAGACAGAUGUGAAAUCCCCGGGCUUAACCUGGGAACUGCAUUUGUGACUGCAUGGCUGGAGUGCGGCAGAGGGGGAUGGAAUUCCGCGCGUAGCAGUGAAAUGCGUAGAUAUCUGGAGGAACACCGGUGGCGAAGGCGGCAUCCUGGACCGACACUGUCACUGAGGAGCGAAAGCCAGGGGAGCAAACGGG